rnacentral:rRNA from 1 species
UAAAAACCCCGACUUCGGAAGGGGUGUAUUUAUUAGAUACAAAACCAAUGCCCUUCGGGGCUCUUUGGUGAUUCAUGAUAACUAUACGAAUCGCACGGCCUUGCGCCGGCGAUGGUUCAUUCAAAUUUCUUCCCUAUCAACUUUCGAUGUUUGGGUAUUGGCCAAACAUGGUUGCAACGGGUAACGGAGGGCUAGGGCUCGACCCCGGAGAAGGAGCCUGAGAAACGGCUACUACAUCCAAGGAAGGCAGCAGGCGCGCAAAUUACCCAAUCCCGACUCGGGGAGGUAGUGACAAUAAAUACUGAUACAGGGCCCUUUCGGGCCUUGUGAUUGGAAUGAGUACAAUUUAAAUCCCUUAACGAGGGACAAUUGGAGGGCAAGUCUGGUGCCAGCAGCCGCGGUAAUUCCAGCUCCAAUAGCGUAUAUUAAAGUUGUUGUGGUUAAAAAGCUCGUAGUUGAACCUUGGGCCUGGCUGGCCGGUCCGCCUCACCGCGUGCACUGGUCCGGCCGGGCCUUUCCCUCUGUGGAACCCCAUACCCUUCACUGGGCGUGGCGGGGAAACAGGACAUUUACUUU